UAGGGAAUCUUCCGCAAUGGGCGAAAGCCUGACGGAGCAACGCCGCGUGAGUGAUGAAGGUCUUCGGAUCGUAAAACUCUGUUAUUAGGGAAGAACAAAUGUGUAAGUAACUAUGCACGUCUUGACGGUACCUAAUCAGAAAGCCACGGCUAACUACGUGCCAGCAGCCGCGGUAAUACGUAGGUGGCAAGCGUUAUCCGGAAUUAUUGGGCGUAAAGCGCGCGUAGGCGGUUUUUUAAGUCUGAUGUGAAAGCCCACGGCUCAACCGUGGAGGGUCAUUGGAAACUGGAGAACUUGAGUGCAGAAGAGGAAAGUGGAAUUCCAUGUGUAGCGGUGAAAUGCGCAGAGAUAUGGAGGAACACCAGUGGCGAAGGCGACUUUCUGGUCUGUAACUGACGCUGAUGUGCGAAAGCGGGGGGAUCAAACAGG
rnacentral:rRNA from 1 species